UACAGAGGGUGCGAGCGUUGUUCGGAAUUAUUGGGCGUAAAGGGCGCGUAGGCGGUGCGGUAAGUCCGCUGUGAAAGUCGGGGGCUCAACCCUCGAAUGCCGGUGGAUACUGUCGGGCUAGAGUGCGGAAGAGGCGAGUGGAAUUCCUGGUGUAGCGGUGAAAUGCGUAGAGAUCCGGAGGAACCCCAGAGGCGAAGGCGGCCCCCUGGCUCGUACCUGACGCUCAGCCACGAAAGCAUGGGGAGCGAACGGG
rnacentral:rRNA from 1 species